UAAAUAGCCCGUAUUGCUUUGGCAGUACGCUGGCUUCUUAGAGGGACUAUCGGCUCAAGCCGAUGGAAGUUUGAGGCAAUAACAGGUCUGUGAUGCCCUUAGAUGUUCUGGGCCGCACGGUACGUAUUUAAUCUAAUCCUUUUCCACAUUCUAAUUUUUUAAUCACUUAUGCUAACUUUUUUUCACAGCGCGCUACACUGACAAAGCCAGCGAGUAUUUCCU
rnacentral:rRNA from 1 species